GCUUGACUGUAGCUUGUAAUUGGGUUCGGGCUUUUUUUGCGCAGCCUAGGUGGGAGGCAACUGAUGAUUUUUUUUCCCGGAAAAAUUUGAGCCGUUAGUGAGAGACCACUCUGAAAAGGCUAGAAUCCUAAUAAUGAUCCUUGAAUCAGGACAUUUGACAGUUGCAGGUGGGCAGUUUUACUGGGGCGGUAUUCUCCUAAAAAGUAACGGAGGGGUGCAAAGGUUCCCUCAAGCUGGACGGAAAUCAGCUUAAGAGUGUAAAGGCAAAAGGGAGCUUGACUGCAAGACCUACAAGUCGAGCAGGGGCGAAAGCCGGCCUUAGUGAUCCGACGGUACCACGUGGAAGGGCCGUCGCUCAACGGAUAAAAGUUA
rnacentral:rRNA from 1 species